AAAGCUCCGGCAGUAUAGGAUGGUCCCGCGUCUGAUUAGCUGGUUGGCGGGGUAACGGCCCACCAAGGCGACGAUCAGUAGCCGGCUUGAGAGAGUGGACGGCCACAUUGGGACUGAGACACGGCCCAAACUCCUACGGGAGGCAGCAGUGGGGAAUAUUGCACAAUGGGGGAAACCCUGAUGCAGCGACGCCGCGUGAGUGAAGAAGUAUUUCGGUAUGUAAAGCUCUAUCAGCAGGGAAGAAAAAAGACGGUACCUGACUAAGAAGCCCCGGCUAACUACGUGCCAGCAGCCGCGGUAAUACGUAGGGGGCAAGCGUUAUCCGGAAUUACUGGGUGUAAAGGGUGCGUAGGUGGCAUGGUAAGUCAGAAGUGAAAGCCCGGGGCUUAACCCCGGGACUGCUUUUGAAACUGUCAUGCUGGAGUGCAGGAGAGGUAAGCGGAAUUCCUAGUGUAGCGGUGAAAUGCGUAGAUAUUAGGAGGAACACCAGUGGCGAAGGCGGCUUACUGGACUGUCACUGACACUGAUGCACGAAAGCGUGGGGAGCAAACAGGAUUAGAUACCCUGGUAGUCCACGCCGCAAACGAUGAAUACUAGGUGUCGGGGCCGUAGAGGCUUCG
rnacentral:rRNA from 1 species